rnacentral:lncRNA from 1 species
GCAGCAUUUCUGACAGGGUUUCAAAGUAUAAAGUCUUCACCAACAGAGCUCAGAAUAACAACAAUUUAUCCGUGUGUUGUCUCUGCAUCUGAACAUUGCUCCCAUGUCCUAUUGCCUUACCCCUGUUCAUUCGGCCCAUGUCCUGAAGAUGGAUUGCAUCUGAACAUUGCACCCAUGUACUAUUGCCUUACCUUGUCAGACCACCCAGAUGUUCUGCAACACAUACCCAGCUGUCCUUUGGAUCAAUUUAAUUGUAGUUUGAUACUGAAAAUCAAAUGUAUGUGUUUAAAUAACCUUGGCCUUGGAAUAUCAGAUUAGUCUUGUUAGAUCUCUCUGCCAAGAAAAGAAAAGAAAAGAAUGUUCACAUAUCACCACUGCCAACAUAGAACUAAUAUAUUUGCUACUUAGGCUACUAACUCCACAUGUCACCAUGGAAACUGCAUGUUUACUUAAUUACAUUGGCUUUUGUAUGUAUCCAGGUCAUAUAUUGUACAUGGGACUGUGCAUUACCAGAUAUUUGGUAGGAACCAUGGUGCGUAAAUUAUUCAAAUUAGAUGCCAUUUUGUGUCGAAUACUUAUUUCUAGUCUAAAAUAAUCGAUGUGAUAUGGAGGUUGUACGUGGGUCAUGUCUGGAUAACAUAGGCUGGGAAACAUAUAUUGUUCAAGAAAUCAGCGUUUAAAGAUGUUUUAAUUGUAUUUCUUCCGCUUUUUGAUACACUGUUCAUAUCAUUUGGAUAAUAAGGUUUUUGACAGUCAUAAGUAAACAAGUCACUUACACUGGGAUGUGGAAUUAUUUUUCAAUGUUUUCUCUCAAGUCUCAACCUAUUGUAAAAAGAAUGAAUCAUUGAUCGAAAAAGGGAGAAAAAAAAAAGAUAUAAAGCAAGGAGUUUCGUAUAAUGGGCCGGAGAGUUGAGGAAGAAAGAGAGGUUAAUUACUUAAUGUAGGUUAUUUGAGAAAAUCUUAGCCAUUGAACACUACUCAACUUCUCCCAACAAAAAUAAACAAUACGCGAGGAAAUCCGACAAUUAGAAACAUAUUUUGGAAAUAUCUAAUCUCCACCUCCCAAAGUCCAAUCAUAUAUCUAAACUGUUCAUGAAAUAUUCUUAAAUAUGUUUAUGUUUGAAUAUUAUAAAAUCUAUUACAGAAUCAUGGAUUUGAAUUUGUACCUUCUCUGCUAGUUGUAGCAGCUGAAACAUGAUUGCAAACUGGAUAUAGUUGGUGAAGUGUCCUUCCAAAU